GGGGGCGCGGCGGGCGGCGGGGCAAUUUCUGAGGUAGCUGCGCGUACCUCGCUCUCCGCUCCCCUCGCCCCGAAACGCCUUUCCCUUCCGGGGUCGGGAGGCGCCGCCCCGGAGCGUACCUUGCGCGCCCUGGGCGACCCCGAGCUCCGGGUUCCGGGCGCGUUUGAGGCGUCUCCGCCGUGCGGGCAACUUUACUGCCCACCCCGCCUCAACCCGCGGCGUGCGCGAUGCUCCGGCGGCCCUACAGUGAAAGGAGACCCCGUUUACCAAACCGCCAAGGACAUAGGUGUCAGGGAGUCUGCGAGACCCUCAUAGAGGGGAUGGCACCCCAUGGGCAACCCACAGACACAAACGAGCAGGCAAAGGUGGGUUUCUGAGCCCAUUGCAGCCCUGCCGGACAUUGGUCCCUGGGACCUGCCUGGACUGGAGGGAAGAGCAGGGGAGCGGGUCAGGGGCCCGCCAGGUGAGCAGCCUCCGUCUGGCUCCUGCGUUUCUCCACCAACACCUAGUCUCUUGCGAAGGGUAGAUUGCAGCCUCAGAAGAAGUAGCUGGGAGGACCCAGGAGGCUCACUACUGGGUGACCAUGACCUUGCCCCUGAUUCGUAUCAGAGGACUAGGGCCAGCUCCGUGAACUUUCCCAUCUUCCCGUCUCCGAAUAACCACACUGGCUCCUUGGCAAAAGGUUGCUGACCAGGUCAAAACCAAUCACAUUGAUGGAUUGUUUUCUCGGGGUCGACUGUGACUCCCCACCUGGGCGCCCCAUCGUCCUCACGCCUGCUCCUUCAAGUGAACAUGAUCUGUGACCUCUACCAAGACAGUACUCAAGCUCUACCCGCCCCCCGCCCCCGCCCCGAGGCUCUGCCCCAAACUGUGGAAGCUAGUCAAGAAGUCUGAAGUCAAGGAAUCUACAUUUCUGCAGAAGACUGAGAGCUGAGCGUGCUCUGUGGUCAAAGCAAAUUUGAGUCUGAAACUAGUUUUUGCAAGGCAUAAGUGGUCUGAGUUCCAGCUGUGCAUGGGACAGUCCUUGUGAGGUGAGUGGGGAGAACGACGGUUCAUCAUUUCAGCUCUGCUAGGAAAGCUUUUCACUUCCCAGUCGGUGAGGACUGGGCCAAGUACCAUGGCCUUGUCUGUUUCUACCCGGAGUUAUCACCUUAACUCUAAUUCCAGCCAGUCUCUUAACUCCACUGCUGUCCCCAGUCCACCUUGUCUUUGUUUGUCCUGGCUUGAUUUCUGCAUUCUCAAGGGAGGUUACCUGGGCUUGGAGCCUUAGUCACCCUUCCUUCUUUCUUGCAUUCCAGAAACCCACUUUGUGACACCUUUGGUGGGAGACUGGUUGCUGCCUGAGAGCCUAGGUCUAAAAAAGUAAGCAAGUCACUGGCCUUGUAAGUUUUCCAACUGCUUAAAAAUAAUAAUGAAAGGAGACCUGGCCCCCUCAUCUUCACCUGUUGAUUUCCAGAAUUAUCACACGAGGUUAUUAUCGUAAACACCAAAUGUUUUUAAAAUGAGGCUGAUCUUUUCAAGACUCCAGACUUCAAGAAGCAUUCCCUAUGUGCCUCUCCAUGGCACUUACACUUCCAUAUAUUAGAUUAUUUUUACUUAAUCUCCAAAAGAUUGCAACCUCUUGGACCACAGGUACUAUUUCACUUGCUCUGUAGACCCCAACAACUACCAUGGCCCUAUAUGUACACUGAAUGAUCAAAUUGCCUUGAAUCUUUGGAAAGCCAGUGGCAGAAUUCUUGAAUUUCCUCAUUUUCAAAGAUCUGCCAAGAAUCUGAAACGUUAGUGUGGUAAUAGAGAAAAAAUGAAAACACUUUGUGAAGUGGAGAAAUACAGAAUCAAUUCUUUAUCUUCCUGAAGAGUUUGAGGGUUUCCCUACUGACAAAAAUUCUAAUUUCUUUCCUUCUGUGUAAAUGUUUUGACUCAAGUUAAAAUGUAAAUAACCAUAGAAAUCUAAUUUUGUUUGGAAUAAUGCAACUAAUUUUCAGUGUGACCACUUUUCACAUCCUUUGGGGCUAGAGAAGUCCGCCUUUCAGCUUUGUUGAGUAAAAACAGUUGCUUCACUUUUAUAAGCCUCAGUUUUAUCAGUGCAAAUGAGGACAAUGGUCCACGAGUUGUUAUCAGGAUUAAAUAAGAUGAUGUAAGUAAAUGCUUAGCAGAGUGUCAGGCACAUGUCUAUUCAAUCAAUAAAUAUUCACUAUGUACUA